rnacentral:rRNA from 1 species
UACGUAGGGGGCUAGCGUUGUCCGGAAUCAUUGGGCGUAAAGCGCGUGUAGGCGGUCCGGUAAGUCCGCUGUGAAAGUCGGGGGCUCAACCCUCGAAUGCCGGUGGAUACUGUCGAACUAGAGUGCGGAAGAGGCGAGUGGAAUUCCUGGUGUAGCGGUGAAAUGCGCAGAUAUCAGGAGGAACACCAAUUGCGAAGGCAGCUCGCUGGGACGUAACUGACGCUGAGACGCGAAAGCGUGGGGAGCAAACAGG